rnacentral:rRNA from 1 species
GUGGGGAAUAUUGGACAAUGGGCGCAAGCCUGAUCCAGCAAUGCCGCGUGGAUGAAGAAGGUCUUCGGAUUGUAAAGUCCUUUCGGCGGGGACGAUGAUGACGGUACCCGCAGAAGAAGCCCCGGCUAACUUCGUGCCAGCAGCCGCGGUAAUACGAAGGGGGCUAGCGUUACUCGGAAUUACUGGGCGUAAAGGGCGCGUAGGCGGCGGCGACAGUCAGGCGUGAAAUUCCUGGGCUUAACCUGGGGGCUGCGCUUGAUACAUCGCUGCUAGAGGACGGAAGAGGGUCGUGGAAUUCCCAGUGUAGAGGUGAAAUUCGUAGAUAUUGGGAAGAACACCGGUGGCGAAGGCGGCGACCUGGUCCGUUACUGACGCUGAGGCGCGACAGCGUGGGGAGCAAACAGGAUUAGAAACCCCAGUAGUCC